GUGGGGAUAGAUCAGUUGGGAGAGCGUCAGACUGGAGAUCUGAAGGUCGCGUGUUCGAUCCACGCUCACCGCA
rnacentral:tRNA from 1 species